rnacentral:rRNA from 1 species
UACGGGGGGAGCAAGCGUUGUUCGGAUUUACUGGGCGUAAAGGGCGCGUAGGCGGCCAGUACAAGUCAGUUGUGAAAUCUCCGGGCUUAACUCGGAAAGGUCAACUGAUACUGUGCGGCUAGAGUGCAGAAGGGGCAACUGGAAUUCUCGGUGUAGCGGUGAAAUGCGUAGAUAUCAAGAGGAACACCUGCGGCGAAGGCGGGUUGCUGGGCCGACACUGACGCUGAUGCGCGAAAGCUAGGGGAGCGAACGGG